rnacentral:rRNA from 1 species
GACAUAGGUUGCGAACGUUAUCCGGAAUUAUUGGGCGUAAAGGAUGCGUAGAUGGUUUGAUAAGUUAUCAGUGGCAAAUCGGGGCUCAACCUCGUGGAAGUUGGUAAUACUGUCAUACUUGAGUGCAGGAGAAGUUAACGGAACUCUAUAUGGAGCGGUAAAAUGUGACGAUAUAUAGAAGAACACCAAUAAGGCGAAGGCAGUUAACUAUUCUGUUACUGACAUUGAGGCAUGAAAGCGUGGGGAGCAAAACGG